rnacentral:rRNA from 1 species
UACGUAGGGUCCGAGCGUUGUCCGGAAUUAUUGGGCGUAAAGGGCUCGUAGGCGGUUUGUCGCGUCGGGAGUGAAAACACCGGGCUUAACUCGGUGCUUGCUUUCGAUACGGGCAGACUGGAGGUAUGCAGGGGAGAACGGAAUUCCUGGUGUAGCGGUGAAAUGCGCAGAUAUCAGGAGGAACACCGGUGGCGAAGGCGGUUCUCUGGGCCUUACCUGACGCUGAGGAGCGAAAGCGUGGGGAGCAAACAGG